rnacentral:rRNA from 1 species
AUUGAACGCUGGCGGCAUGCCUUACACAUGCAAGUCGAACGGCAGCACGGAGCUUGCUCUGGUGGCGAGUGGCGAACGGGUGAGUAAUAUAUCGGAACGUACCCUAGAGUGGGGGAUAACGUAGCGAAAGUUACGCUAAUACCGCAUACGAUCUAAGGAUGAAAGUGGGGGAUCGCAAGACCUCAUGCUCGUGGAGCGGCCGAUAUCUGAUUAGCUAGUUGGUAGGGUAAAAGCCUACCAAGGCAUCGAUCAGUAGCUGGUCUGAGAGGACGACCAGCCACACUGGAACUGAGACACGGUCCAGACUCCUACGGGAGGCAGCAGUGGGGAAUUUUGGACAAUGGGCGAAAGCCUGAUCCAGCAAUGCCGCGUGAGUGAAGAAGGCCUUCGGGUUGUAAAGCUCUUUUGUCAGGGAAGAAACGGUGAGAGCUAAUAUCUCUUGCUAAUGACGGUACCUGAAGAAUAAGCACCGGCUAACUACGUGCCAGCAGCCGCGGUAAUACGUAGGGUGCAAGCGUUAAUCGGAAUUACUGGGCGUAAAGCGUGCGCAGGCGGUUUUGUAAGUCUGAUGUGAAAACCCCGGGCUCAACCUGGGAAUUGCAUUGGAGACUGCAAGGCUAGAAUCUGGCAGAGGGGGGUAGAAUUCCACGUGUAGCAGUGAAAUGCGUAGAUAUGUGGAGGAACACCGAUGGCGAAGGCAGCCCCCUGGGUCAAGAUUGACGCUCAUGCACGAAAGCGUGGGGAGCAAACAGGAUUAGAUACCCUGGUAGUCCACGCCCUAAACGAUGUCUACUAGUUGUCGGGUCUUAAUUGACUUGGUAACGCAGCUAACGCGUGAAGUAGACCGCCUGGGGAGUACGGUCGCAAGAUUAAAACUCAAAGGAAUUGACGGGGACCCGCACAAGCGGUGGAUGAUGUGGAUUAAUUCGAUGCAACGCGAAAAACCUUACCUACCCUUGACAUGGCUGGAAUCCUUGAGAGAUCAGGGAGUGCUCGAAAGAGAACCAGUACACAGGUGCUGCAUGGCUGUCGUCAGCUCGUGUCGUGAGAUGUUGGGUUAAGUCCCGCAACGAGCGCAACCCUUGUCAUUAGUUGCUACGAAAGGGCACUCUAAUGAGACUGCCGGUGACAAACCGGGGGAAGGUGGGGAUGACGUCAAGUCCUCAUGGCCCUUAUGGGUAGGGCUUCACACGUCAUACAAUGGUACAUACAGAGCGCCGCCAACCCGCGAGGGGGAGCUAAUCGCAGAAAGUGUAUCGUAGUCCGGAUUGUAGUCUGCAACUCGACUGCAUGAAGUUGGAAUCGCUAGUAAUCGCGGAUCAGCAUGUCGCGGUGAAUACGUUCCCGGGUCU